CCCGCCUUAACUCAGCCUGGUAGAGUGCGCGGCUGUAGUGCGCGGCUACCGCGAUGUCCCCGGUUCGAAUCUGGGAGGCGGGA
rnacentral:tRNA from 1 species